NNNNNNNNNNNNNNNNNNNNNNNGUGCCCCAUGGGGGACCCAGGCGUCCGGGGGGACCCACUCAACCCCAGAGCAGAUCAAGGCGUCCAGGAGGCCCUGCUCCAUCCCAUGUGCCCCACCGGGGGCCCAGGCGUCCGGGGGGCCCCACUCAACCCCAGAGCAGAUCGAGUGGGGGACCCAGGUGUCCGGGGGUGUCCUGCUCCGUCCCAUGUGCCCCGUGGGGGACCCAGGCAUCCAGGAGAUCCCGUUCGACCCCAGAGGAGAUCGAGGCGUCCAGGAGGCCCUGCUCCAUCCCAUGUACCCCAUGGGGGGCCCAGUGUCCGGGGGUGUCCUGCUCCGUCCCAUGUGCCCCGUGGGGGACCCAGGCAUCCAGGAGAUCCCGUUCGACCCCAGAGGAGAUCGAGGCGUCCAGGAGGCCCUGCUCCAUCCCAUGUACCCCAUGGGGGGCCCAGGUGUCCGGGGGACCCUACUUUGCCCCACUGAGGACCCAGAGCUCUGGGGAGCCCCGCUCCACCCCAUGGCAGAUCCAAGCGUCCGGGGGACCCCGCUCCACCCCACAGGGACCCAGGCAUCCGGGGGACCCAGGCGUCCGGGCUCCCCUCCUCCCUCUCUGGGGUCCCAGCUGGCCGGGCUCUCCUGCUCCACGCCCCCCUCAUCAACCCCACCACACCGAGGACCAAGGCGUCCGGGCAGCCCCUCGAGGGACCCAGGCGUCCGAGAGCACCCACUCCACCCCACAACCCCGCGGGAGGGGGCCCAGGCGUCCGGGCACGCACACGGAGCGGAACUCGCCGUAGGGCACGGUGGGCUUCAGGAUGUCCUUGAUGCCGAUGAUGUUGUCGUGCUUGAAGUGCUUGAGGAUCUUGAGCUCGCGCAGCGUCCGCUUGGCGUUGGUCACCACGUCGAAGGCGUUGGGGAUCUUCUUGAUGGCCACCUGCUGGCCUGCGCCCCAGGGGCCCAGGCGUCCGGGGGUUCUUCAGCCGCUCAGGGACCCAGGUGUCCUGGAGCCUCACCCCCACCCCAGGAGCCCAGGCAGCCGGGACCAUCCUACCACGGGGCCCAGGCGUCUGGGGCUCCUGCUCCCCAGGGACCCAGGUGUCCGGGACCCUCCCACCCUGGGGCCCAGGCGUCCAGGGCUCCCGCUCCCCAGGGACCCAGGCGUCUGGGACCCUCCCACCAUGGGGCCCAGGCGUCCGGGGGUC
ensembl:lncRNA